ensembl:lncRNA
GUCCUUGCAUGACUCCACCCCUUCCCCCAUUAUCCUCUAUGCACAACUUAAGUGGUCAUGUAUGGACAUGAGAGUUGGACUGUGAAGAAAGCUGAGUGCCAAAGAAUUGAUGCUUUUGAACUGUAGUGUUGGAGAAGACUCUUGCGAGUCCUUGGACUGCAAGGAGAUCCAGCCAGUCCAUCAUAAAGGAGACCAGUCCUGGGUGAUCAUUGGAAGGACUGAUGCUGAAGCUGAAUCUCCAGUACUCUGGCCACUUCAUGUGAAGAGUUCUGCAUCCAUGGAUUCAGUUCACAAGAGGGAUUGUGUGGCGCUGUAGGAAAUAUUUACAGGAAAGAAAAAGUCUGCAUUACAGGAAAUGCCUCUGGCAUGGUGAUAGGCUAAUCCAACGGUGAACUACUGAUGUGCUCAGUUGCUAAGUCAUGUCUAACUCUUUGCGAUCCCAAGGACCACAGCCCAGCAGGCUCCUCUGUCCAUGGCAUUUUCCAGGCAAGAGUACUGGACUGGGUUGCCAUUUCCUCCUCCAGGGGAUCUUCCCCAUCCAGGGAUGGAACCCCCAUCUCCAGCAUUGGCAGUGGAUUCUUUACCACUGAGCCACCUGGGAGGACCUGAACUACCAACACAGGCAACUAAAUGCUGGCGUUUCUUCAUGCAUUGAAGUUGUAAGGGGAAAAACUUGUACCAUAAUAUACUCAAGUUCAUCACUCAGACUGUUCUCACUACACAAAGCCAAGGAGAACCUCCACAUUCAUCUCAGUAGGUGUAAGGGUUACCACCUGAUUCAAGUUCAGCUACCAGUUUGUACUGAUUUGUAC